rnacentral:rRNA from 1 species
AUUGAACGCUGGCGGCGGGCCUAACACAUGCAAGUCGAACGGGUGGCGGACGGGUGAGUAAUGUCUGGGAAACUGGCUGAUGGAGGGGUAUAAGUGCGGGAACCGGUAGCUAAUACCGCAUACCAUCAGAUGGGGCGAGGUGGGAUUAGCUAGGUGGUGGGGUAACGGCUCACCAAGGCGACGAUGCCUAGCUGGCCUGAGAGGCUGACCAGCCACACUGGAACUGAGACACGGUCCAGACUCCUACGGGAGGCAGCAGUGGGGAAUAUUGCACAAUGGGCGCAAGCCUGAUACAGCCAUGCCGCGUGUAUGAAGAAGGCCUUCGGGUUGUAAAGUACUGUUAGCGGGGAGGCGUUACCCGCAGAAGAAGCACCGGCUAACUCCGUGCCAGCAGCCGCGGUAAUUC